rnacentral:rRNA from 1 species
ACCCACGUUCGGAUUGUAGGCUGCAACUCGCCUACAUGAAGUCGGAGUUGCUAGUAAUCGCGGAUCAGAAUGCCGCGGUGAAUGCGUUCCCGGGUCUUGUACACACCGCCCGUCACACCAUGGAAGUUGGGGGCGCCCGAAGUUGCCUAAGAAAUAAGGUACCUAAGGCGAAACCAAUGACUGGGGUGAAGUCGUAACAAGGUACC